rnacentral:rRNA from 1 species
UUCCAGACUCCUACGGGAGGCAGCAGUGGGGAAUAUUGGGCAAUGGGCGCAAGCCUGACCCAGCAACGCCGCGUGAAGGAAGAAGGCUUUCGGGUUGUAAACUUCUUUUAUGAGGGACGAAAGAAAUGACGGUACCUCAUGAAUAAGCCACGGCUAACUACGUGCCAGCAGCCGCGGUAAUACGUAGGUGGCAAGCGUUAUCCGGAUUUACUGGGUGUAAAGGGCGUGUAGGCGGGGAAGCAAGUCAGAUGUGAAAACCACGGGCUCAACCUGUGGCCUGCAUUUGAAACUGUUUUUCUUGAGUGCUGGAGAGGCAAUCGGAAUUCCGUGUGUAGCGGUGAAAUGCGUAGAUAUACGGAGGAACACCAGUGGCGAAGGCGGAUUGCCGGACAGUAACUGACGCUGAGGCGCGAAAGCGUGGGGAGCAAACAGGAUUAGAUACCCCAGUAC